AAGCUAAUAAUUCCCUAGUGAAUCCCCCUUCGUGAUUAAAAAAGUUAAUCAGCUA
rnacentral:tRNA from 1 species